GCUCCGGUAGUUCAGUGGUAGAACACUGUUGAGCAAUGCCGAGCGAGUACUGUCAGAGUUGUCGCAGAUUCUAAUCCUGCCCGGUAGCU